AUUGAACGCUGGCGGCAUGCCUUACACAUGCAAGUCGAACGGCAGCACGGGUGCUUGCACCUGGUGGCGAGUGGCGAACGGGUGAGUAAUACAUCGGAACAUGUCCUGUAGUGGGGGAUAGCCCGGCGAAAGCCGGAUUAAUACCGCAUACGAUCUACGGAUGAAAGCGGGGGAUCUUCGGACCUCGCGCUAUAGGGUUGGCCGAUGGCUGAUUCGCUAGUUGGUGGGGUAAAGGCCUACCAAGGCGACGAUCAGUAGCUGGUCUGAGAGGACGACCAGCCACACUGGGACUGAGACACGGCCCAGACUCCUACGGGAGGCAGCAGUGGGGAAUUUUGGACAAUGGGCGAAAGCCUGAUCCAGCAAUGCCGCGUGUGUGAAGAAGGCCUUCGGGUUGUAAAGCACUUUUGUCCGGAAAGAAAUCCUUGGCUCUAAUACAGUCGGGGGAUGACGGUACCGGAAGAAUAAGCACCGGCUAACUACGUG
rnacentral:rRNA from 1 species